rnacentral:rRNA from 1 species
GUAGGUGGCAAGCGUUGUCCGGAAUUAUUGGGCGUAAAGCGCGCGCAGGUGGUUCUUUAAGUCUGAUGUGAAAGCCCCCGGCUCAACCGGGGAGGGUCAUUGGAAACUGGGGAACUUGAGUGCAGGAGAGGAAAGUGGAAUUCCACGUGUAGCGGUGAAAUGCGUAGAUAUGUGGAGGAACACCAGUGGCGAAGGCGACUUACUGGCCUGUAACUGACACUGAGGCGCGAAAGCGUGGGGAGCAAACAGGGAUUAGAUACCCUGGUAGUCCACGCCGUAAACGAUGAGUGCUAAGUGUUGGGGGGGUUUCCCGCCCCUCAGUGCUGCAGCUAACGCAUUAAGCACUCCGCCUGGGGAGUACGGUCGCAAGACUG